rnacentral:rRNA from 1 species
GCAAGUCGAGCGCAGGAAACUGACGGAACUCUUCGGAGGGAAGGCAGCGGAAUGAGCGGCGGACGGGUGAGUAACACGUAAGGAACCUGCCUCAAGGAUUGGGAUAACUCCGAGAAAUCGGAGCUAAUACCGGAUAGUUCAACGGACCGCAUGGUCCGCUGAUGAAAGGCGCUCCGGCGUCACCUUGAGAUGGCCUUGCGGUGCAUUAGCUAGUUGGUGGGGUAACGGCCCACCAAGGCGACGAUGCAUAGCCGACCUGAGAGGGUGAUCGGCCACACUGGGACUGAGACACGGCCCAGACUCCUACGGGAGGCAGCAGUAGGGAAUCUUCCACAAUGGACGAAAGUCUGAUGGAGCAACGCCGCGUGAGUGAUGAAGGUUUUCGGAUCGUAAAACUCUGUUGUAAGGGAAGAACACGUACGAGAGGGAAUGCUCGUACCUUGACGGUACCUUACGAGAAAGCCACGGCUAACUACGUGCCAGCAGCCGCGGUAAUACGUAGGUGGCAAGCGUUGUCCGGAAUUAUUGGGCGUAAAGCGCGCGCAGGCGGCCUUU